GACGAACGCUGGCGGCGUGCUUAACACAUGCAAGUCGAACGGGCCUUGUCCCCUUUUUUUUUGGGGGUGGGGUUAGUGGCGAACGGGUGAGUAACACGUGAGUAACCUGCCCCUCACUUCUGGAUAACCGCUUGAAAGGGUGGCUAAUACGGGGUGUUCUGGCCUGCUCGCAUGGGUGGGUUUGGAAAGAUUCGACCGGUUUUGGUUGUUUUGGUGGGGGAUGGGCUCGCGGCCUAUCAGCUUGUUGGUGGGGUGAUGGCCUGCCAAGGCUUUGACGGGUAGCCGGCCUGAGAGGGUGGGCGGCCACACUGGGACUGAGACACGGCCCAGACUCCUACGGGAGGCAGCAGUGGGGAAUAUGGCACAAUGGGCGCAAGCCUGAUGCAGCGACGCCGCGUGAGGGAUGGAGGCCGUCGGGUUGUGAACCUCUUUCGCCAGUGAAGAAGGUCCUGCUCUUUGUGGUGGGGUUGACGGUAGCUGGGUUAAUGAAGCGCCGGCUAACUACGUG
rnacentral:rRNA from 1 species